GCGCCCGUAGCUCAAUUGGAUAGAGUACGUGCCUACGGAGCACGGAGUUGGAGGUUCAAAUCCCCCCGGGCGCG
rfam:Omnitrophica WOR_2 bacterium RIFOXYA2_FTLL_38_17 rifoxya2_full_scaffold_416, whole genome shotgun sequence.